UACGUAGGGUGCGAGCGUUAAUCGGAAUUACUGGGCGUAAAGGGUGCGCAGGUGGUUAUGUAAGCUUGAUGUGAAAUCCCCGGGCUCAACCUGGGAACUGCAUUGAGGACUGCAUGGCUAGAGUGUGGCAGAGGGGGGUGGAAUUCCGCGUGUAGCAGUGAAAUGCGUAGAGAUGCGGAGGAACACCAAUGGCGAAGGCAGCCCCCUGGGUUAACACUGACACUCAUGCACGAAAGCGUGGGGAGCAAACAGG
rnacentral:rRNA from 1 species